GCCACGGCUAACUACGUGCCAGCAGCCGCGGUAAUACGUAGGUGGCAAGCGUUGUCCGGAUUUACUGGGCGUAAAGGGAGCGUAGGUGGAUUCUUAAGUGAGAUGUGAAAUACCCGGGCUUAACUUGGGUGCUGCAUUUCAAACUGGGAAUCUAGAGUGCAGGAGAGGAAAGUGGAAUUCCUAGUGUAGCGGUGAAAUGCGUAGAGAUUAGGAAGAACACCAGUGGCGAAGGCGACUUUCUGGACUGUAACUGACACUGAGGCUCGAAAGCGUGGGGAGCAAACAGGAUUAGAUACCCUGGUAGUCCACGCCGUAAACGAUGGAUACUAGGUGUGGGAGGUAUCAACUCCUUCCGUGCCGCCGUUAACACAUUAAGUAUCCCGCCUGGGGAGUACGGUCGCA
rnacentral:rRNA from 1 species